AGGAGCGUAGCUCAGCUGGAAGAGCAGCGGUCUCCAAAACCGCAGGUCGCAGGUUCGAGUCCUGCCGCUCCUGCCA
rnacentral:tRNA from 1 species